CUACUCUCAAUUUAAGCAAGCCCCAGGCGAUUCGUUCAAGUUUUCAGCCGUUGGAAUUCUGAAAUCUGUCUAGUCAAGGCAUGGCUUAGAAGUGAAUUUUGAGAUGUUAUUUUGGUGAGAUUUGUUGCGUUUUUUGUGAAAAUUCAAUUCGAAUUUUUAAUGCCAAGUGAUUUGCUGUGUGAAAUUCAGAAGAUAAACAUUGCCUUCCAGAAAGAGACGGCCAUGUAUGUGCUGUUAUUUCUUAGAUUUAAACAUGAGAAGACAUUUAUUUAUGAUGCGAAGAUUACAUUUCAGUACUUUAGUCUUAGGAUUGCUGUUCUUAGUGAAUUUUUCUUUCCUGUUUUUAAAUAACGCCGAUUUCCCUUGUCACCAUAUUCUGUUAAAUGGUUUUGAACUUUCGUAUUUAUUCUACCGGCCAUGUUAUUUAUAUCAAAUCGGUUGAAUAUGUGCCCACUAGAGCUUCUUAUGGUAUCAAUUGAUUUUCCCUUGAGCUGACGGUUUGGCAAUUUUUCUAAGGCAGAUGAAGAUUACCGAUUUUGGGUUUGCUAUACUGAGAUGCAGACCGAAUGAAAAACACUGGAAAUAGGGACUUACCCCUGGAUUGGCCCCGUGAGUUUCUUCAUCUUUUUUCUUCCUCCUGGUAUGAUUAUUCCUCACUUAUAUAAUAGCCUUGCGUUGAUUACUUUCAGGUUGUUUCUGUUUGAGUUGGGGUUCUGGAGUUAUUUUGGUUGGAGACUUUCAGAUAUGUUAAAUAUUCAAUAUUAUCUUUAGUACUAAGGUUCCAAUUGCCUAGAUUUGGUUUGUGUUUCCUAUUGAUGAUUGUGAAUCUUCUUUAUUUUGUGUGAUCAAGUAGUUAGAUUUAUUUUGAUUUUCCUUUUCUUUCUAUUUCUUGAUGCGGAUACGAAGAGUUUCCAUUUAAAAAUGAUGAAUUAAAGCAAAAUUUGAAGAUUAAGUAUUCUCAUUGGGAAAUCUUAAAGAAUAGUCAACAGCAUAUGUUUAAUUUUCUUAUUGAUUAUUGUGUUGAAGUUUCUGUUGAUGACAAGGAUAUUUUUGUCAUUACAUUUCUUGGUUGUUUUGGAUGGAUAACAGUUACUAGUUCUUAUGUCAAAGUAUCAGUAUUGGUUGAACAUAUGAAAGGACGGUACUGCCUUUAGCUUAUGCUCUGUUAAAAUAUGAAAGGAUGAUACUGCCUUUAUCUUAUGCUCUGUUAAUAUUAUAUGCAUCUUUGUCGAUGACCCUUAUCUCUGCAAAUAGUGAACAAGAAAUUGGGGAAUUGAUAGCACAUGCAAUGGAGAAAGUUGAUAAGGAAAGAAUCAUCACUAUUGUGUCGAUGUCUCUAUCUCACUAACUUGUGUCUAAAUUGAUAUCUUCUUUUGAUGCUAUAUCUUUAAUAAUGUCUGCUGUUAUUGUAUUGAUCCACAAUUCUGUUUCCUGCCAUGCUUAUCAUUCAUAUUUGCAUGUGAAAACUAUGCAUAAGUUACUGAAUUGCGUCACAUUGCACAGUGGCUAAUUGUUACUAUGUGCUUCACGUUAUAUUAUUUCACUUGCUUCUCGGUGCUUAUAACAUAUGACCUGGGUAGUUGCCAAGCCACUUGAAUGUGUUGUGUAUAUAUUGAAGAAUUUUAACCAUGCUGUACAUUUGUGCACUGGAAAGAACUGAACUUUUGGUUCAACAGAUGUUUAUAUUUUGCACAACUAAGCAAGCAGGAAUUGUGGUGCUCUCCCACUUGUUUUAAGGAUGUAAUAUUAUCCACAUCAACCGUAGUAUUGUGAUUAUAUUGUUGACGUUAUAAGAAAAAUAUGACAAGUUCACAGAUUUGGGCUCUGGUGGUUUGACAUCGUCACAGGUAUUCUUUUACAAAUGCACCUAUUUAUGUGCCAAUACUGCUGUUAUCUAAGAUUAGUACUCCUUUUUUGGUUGCUUGAGUUGGUUUGUCAUACUAAGUUGUGUCAUAGAAAUGGACAUUAAUAUUUGUAUGAUGAUUUCUUGGUGAAUAUUGAGCUACCAAUCUGGUCAUAUGAUAAUAUAUAUGUUUUGCACAUGUAAUUUUAUUUCAUGGAGUAUUAUUUUGGAGGAAGUACAUUAUUUCGGGUGAGUUCCCUUUUUCUUUUUAAUUGGAAGGUGCUGAGCUAUUUCUGGAAAGAUGGCCAUAAGUAGAGAAAGAAGAAAGAUGGAAAGGCAGUGAAGGAGGCUCAUGAAAGGCUCAAGGUAUGUGCUGGAUGAUAUUUCUCUGCUUUCAUGGACUUCAAUUUUACCGGUUGAAAUCUGAAAAAUUGUUCGAGCAGUUUGUUAUGGUGUCUUGAAUGGUACUCUUGUUUGUUAGGAUUUUUAUUUUUUAACAUGAUGAAGUUAUUUGGUUGGUUAUAAUUGAAUAAUUGGAGUGAAUGGCAGCAUAAUCAUGGCAGUGACAAAUCAAAGUGCAGUGACCAAAUUGUGGUCCCUGGUAGUUGACAUUUAGAAUUUGGUCGCUGGAUGUCAACUACCAGCGACCACAUUUAUUUGGUUGCUAAAGGCAUUACCGACCACUCGUUAGUUGCAAAAAGACAUUAAUAGACCAGUUUUCCACUUUUACUAGUGAGUAGAAGUGAACCCUUUGGCGACCGAAAGUUGGUCGCUGUUAGUUAUAUGUUUAGUGACCACACAUAUUUGGUCGCUGGUACCCUUCAUUGACAGUCUAUUAGCGACCAGCCAGCGACCACAUUUUGGUCGUUGGAACCAAUUUUUUUUUGUCGUGAGUCACCAAUGUGUGCUAGUACUUCUCUAUACACGAAUGAUGAUACUUAUCUAUGUGAUGCAAUUGGCUGUAGUGAAGUACUUGGGACUAUGCUGUAUGUUGACCUCACAAAUUGGACCUCAAUGUGGCCAAUCGAGAACUACACCAAGUGUUCUUCCCUACGCACAAUAACACACGGUCAGAAGCACACGGUCGGAACCAGUGGGGGUGGUGGUGGCCGUAUACACUCCGACGAUCAAGUCAAUGGGUGGUGAUCGGAACACUGCCGAAAUUGUGCAAGAGUAGGGAGGGGAAAGCCAUACUUGUGUGUGGGUAGCUAAGUUUAGUGUGUGUUUCAUUACCUUUGGCUCUUACCAAACCUUAGAUAUUUAUAGACGAGGAACACCGUUGGAUGUGGGACACAUGUAUGAAUCUGACGGUUUGAGGUGUCAUCUCGUAGGCGUUAAUCAGUCGCGCCUAGAGUGUGCGGGUAAUUAAUUCUUCUGAGUUGGAUUGACAUAAAGUUGACAUGUCAUAUCAACCAAUUCAUGGAGAUGUCACGUCAAUUAAUCCAUUAAGAUAAAGGGAAUCCUGACAAAGAUCUCUCUUUGAAAUUAGUGGCGGAGAGCUGUUUAAAGAAGUGCCUCGGUGUGUCCCAUGCUUUGACAUGGGGACACUUCGUAUGCCUUGGCAGAUUAACUUGGCGACCUGCAUGUGGUCUUGUAGUUAGGUUGAGGCUUAUAUCACUUCGGAACCACUUUAGAGGAGACACGUGGCACCUCGUUGAGGAGUGGGAUCGAUCUAUUGAAGUGGUUUGGUUAGGGGUAUGAAAGUGGUCCUCCCAAGUUCGUGGAUGAAUAUUUAUAUUAUUCGUGAACUUGUUUGAAUGGUUAUGUUGGCUUUUGAGAGAGUAGGUCAUAUCGGAGUGCUGACCCCAUGGAAACAAACAGAUGGGUAGCAGUCUUUGUAGAGCUUGUAAACGUGGUAGGGGGCUCAUCUUCGACCGAUGCACUGACCCACUGAGAACAAUGCUUGGGAGAUGGCUUGAGGCUUUGUAAAGCUUUUAUAGCUCUUCGACCGAGGCGAUGACUCACAGGGGUUUCUAUUUGGGGAGAGUUGAAGCUUUAUAAAGCUGAUAGGAGAGCUCAUCUUCGAUCGAUGUACUGACCCACAGGGGACGACGCUUGGAAGACGGCUUGAGGCUUUAUAAAGCUUUUGUAGCUCUUUGACCGAGGCAAUGACCCACAGGGGUUUCCAUGUAAGGAGAGUUGAAGUUUUGUAAAGCUGAUAGGAAAGCUUAUCUUCGACCAAUGUGCUGCCCCACAGGGGAUGACGCUUAGGGAUGACUUGAGGCUUUGUAAAGCUUUUGCAGCUCUUUGGUCGAGGCGAUGAUCACAGGGGACUCUAUCUGAGAAGAGUUGAAGCUUUGUAAAACUGAUAGGAGGGCUCAUCUUCAAUCGAUGUGCUGAUCCACAGGGGACGAUGCUUGGGAGACGAUUUGAGGCUUUGUAAAGCUUUUGUAGCUCUUCGAUGGAGGCGAUGACCCACAGGGGUCUCCAUCUGGGGAGAGUUGAAGCUUUAUGAAGCUGAGGUACAUGAUUCGAAGUGUCUUAAGAAAGAUGAGAAGAUUGAUUUGAAGUGCCUUAUUCUGACGUUAAACGAUGUGACAGUUGUCGCGUAUUUUCAAGGCUAUAGUUGGGUGUGAUGCCCAUUUUCAAAAAAGGUUGCUACGGCUACUUAUUGUAGACGGCUGUUGUAAUUCGAGGCGAAGCAUUUGGGGUUUGCGUGGGAGUCACAAUCAGAUCUUGGGCGUUGAUCAAAUCUGAUGUUUUGUUUCAACGCUUUAGAUUUAGCAAUGCAAUCAAUG
rnacentral:lncRNA from 1 species